AAAUAAGGAAAUGACCAUAAUAUCUGUCAUCUCACUGAUCGCUAGGGUUGAUCCGGCUUAUCUGGCUGGCCAGGCGGUGUCCCCUUCCUCCCUCACUGCUCCUUGUGCAUCGCCCUUGUGUGCCCGUUGGAAGAGGUCGGCCUUGUCCAAUGAGCGAGUAGCUCUCUGCUCUGCUAGAACCUCUAAACAAGCUCUCAAAACAGAAAAUGGGCUGGGAAUGUAGCUUGGUACAAAG
rnacentral:snRNA from 1 species